AUAUGUUAAAUGUUUACUUUUACAGUUUUCUAAUUCUUCCUUUCAGAUUGAAAGCAGGACAAAUCGCUGGAAGUGGGUAUGUCUCAAGCUUCUUCCACUUGGUCCAAUCCAAAGCGGGCUGCAAAGGGGAAGAAGUGGAAGCAGUUGAAUGACACAUGUUGCAUUUUGUAACUGGCAACAAAGUACCAGGUAAAAAAGAUUGUGAAGCCUGCCUCCAUAAAGAACUAGUAGCUCUACAGGACAGAGAUUGGCUUGCCAUCAAGUACUACAUCCAUAACAGAAUUAUAUUAAAAAAAGGGGAAAAAAAUGUUUUCCCACAUCUUCUGUGGUAGUUUGAGUAUGUUACCAGCAAUUAAAAAAGCAAAAUAAA